AUAUUACCUGGCAUCGUGGGAGAUACCCUGAUCAAGAAGGGUGUUGGUGGUUUCACCCAGGCCGAGGCCAGCCAUUUGCACUCCGGUUGUUGCUCUGACCCCUGCGAAUUCCCCAAAUGUUGGAAUCUCGACUGCAUUUUAAUUUGUGGUAGUGGGGGACUGCGUUCGCGCUCUCCCCUG
ensembl:snRNA U1 U1 spliceosomal RNA